rnacentral:rRNA from 1 species
GUAGGUGGCAAGCGUUAUCCGGAUUUAUUGGGUGUAAAGGGCGUGUAGCCGGGAGGGCAAGUCAGAUGUGAAAUCCACGGGCUCAACUCGUGAACUGCAUUUGAAACUACUCUUCUUGAGUAUCGGAGAGGCAAUCGGAAUUCCUAGUGUAGCGGUGAAAUGCUUAGAUAUCACGAAGAACUCCGAUUGCGAAGGCAGCUCACUGGAGCGCAACUGACGCUGAAGCUCGAAAGUGCGGGUAUCGAACAGGAUUAGAUACCCUGGUAGUCCGCACGGUAAACGAUGGAUGCCCGCUGUUGGUCUGAAUAGGUCAGCGGCCAAGCGAAAGCAUUAAGCAUCCCACCUGGGGAGU